ACACUCACAUAAGUAAUCCGAAAAAAGCAGCAGAGGUGUUUUCGUCAUGAUUGCAGAUUGUCUUCUUAUCAGUAAAUUGCAAAUACUUCCUUCUCUACAUACCAUUAACAACACUAAGAGCUCAUAUCGUUUUGAAUCCUAACUCCAAGGCAACUCAUACCGUUUCUCGAACGUUCUGAUAUCGGUAACAUCCAACACAAGUGCAACAAAUAUUUCCGAAAACGAAGCAAAAUUCUUCUCCUAUAUCAUCGGCCAUAACUUUUGACAUCCA